rnacentral:rRNA from 1 species
UACGUAGGUGGCAAGCGUUGUCCGGAUUUACUGGGCGUAAAGAGCGCGCAGGCGGUCGUUCAAGUCGCGUGUGAAAGCCCCCGGCUCAACUGGGGAGGGUCAUUCGAUACUGAUCGACUUGAAGGCAGGAGAGGGAAGUGGAAUUCCCGGUGUAGUGGUGAAAUGCGUAGAUAUCGGGAGGAACACCAGUGGCGAAGGCGACUUCCUGGCCUGUUCUUGACGCUGAGGCGCGAAAGCUAGGGGAGCAAACGGG